GCCUGGGUGGCUCAGUGGUUGAGCGUCUGCCUUUGACUCAGGGCGUGAUCCAGCGGUCCUGGGAUCAAGUCCCACAUCGGGCU
rfam:Canis lupus familiaris chromosome 16, whole genome shotgun sequence.